UUUGAUACUAAUCUUGAUCGAUUUAUUUUGCAUAACUACGUGCAUUUGUAAACAAAUGACCCCCCUCUUCUCUCUAAAGACUGUUACGCGUAUUUAAAUCAUACAAUUAUUUCUCAAGCAUUGACAGAAAAUUGAUAUAUCCUCUGAUUUUCUUUUUUUUUUUGUAAACUGUUCAAUAAGUCUGAUACAUAAAUCAUUUGGAAAUGUUAUUUAUUUGAGGUCGAGUCGACAAUAUUCUACUUUCGUUUUUGACCUUGAUUCUCUGAACACCACGUGGGCUUUGAAAAAUGAACUUCAAAAGAUACUGUUUUCCAGAUUCUGAACAAUAUGAUCUACUACACUUUCUUUAAUUUGACUGAUAUUAUUCCAUAACAUAAGAUUGUCAUCCUAUCUGAUUGUCUUCACGUUUUAAAAGCCAAAAAAAAAAGCCAACGAGUUAAUGCCCAUCGGAACGUCUCUAUUGUUAUCGUUUAAUGACCACCGGAACGUCUCUCUUGUUAUCUUUGAAAAGAAACGAUGCAUUCUGACUUUAAAUAGACAACCAAUCAGUGACCUGAAUUCAUGUGAACUAUAUUUAGCCCACGGUAAACACUGACUUUUUUAUCGUGUGACCGCGCGACUUUGCGACAAUACGUCUCUCUCGGCUGCCUGUAAACAUUUGAAAAAGAUAUUUUUUAUCUUUUUGAAUUUAUAUUUUUGUCAGUGAAGUAGCCGGCACUUGAAGCCACCGAAAGCCCUGAUCAUCAGAAUCCUCUCAAUUUAAAAGGUACGUAAAUUUCGUCUUCUAUGUAAUUUGAAAUUGCCGCCAACUUAUUAAUAGACUACUGACGUAUGUAAUACGUAUCGAUGACAAACAAUAUUCCUACGACUUUUGCCAUUUGGGAAAUGUAAACGACUCAUCUUUAUAGAUUUUCGGCGACCAAAUAUUUCAUACAAUUGUUCUUUGGCAUCUUAGCCAACAGCACAGGGGAUAAUAAACUAUAGAAGGAUUUCUAUCGAGCACUACUUCCUAUGUGCAACUUCAAAACUUUUGGGAAAAUCGACGACCAUUUAACGUUUUUAUGAUAAUAUUUUUUAUAUUCCAGAAUAAAAAGUAUGACAAAAGUGUCCAAUUAGUUAUAAAUAACAUGAUAGCCAGC
rnacentral:lncRNA from 1 species